UUUAGAGGCAGGACAAUUGCUGUAGUUGUUAAGACUAUAGAGGAAAGUCCAGGCAGCAGAAGACAGGGUGUCCAGCGUAAGCUGGAGACUCCCGUAAAAGGGAGGCCAGUUAGAGCAACAGAGACGAUUCAAGCUCUUCCCUAAAGGAAGAAUUUGGGUGAAACGGGCAAUCCUCCUCGCUGCAACCUCCGAACGAGCCAUUUCGCCUUUGGCGAAUCUAAGGAUGUCUUCCCGAGGCUCAAGGUAUGAGGGCGUAGAUAGAUAAUUGUCGAGAAACAGAACCUGGCUUACUAGCCUCUAAAGCAU
rfam:Microgenomates (Woesebacteria) bacterium GW2011_GWC2_31_9 TR21_C0002, whole genome shotgun sequence.